UAAAAGAUAAGCUAACUAAGCUAGUGGGUUCAUACCCCAUAAAUAAAGGUUUAUAGUCCUUUUCUUUUUA
rnacentral:tRNA from 1 species